UACGUAGGGUGCAAGCGUUAAUCGGAAUUACUGGGCGUAAAGCGUGCGCAGGCGGCUUUGCAAGACAGAUGUGAAAUCCCCGGGCUUAACCUGGGAACUGCAUUUGUGACUGCAUGGCUGGAGUGCGGCAGAGGGGGAUGGAAUUCCGCGUGUAGCAGUGAAAUGCGUAGAUAUGCGGAGGAACACCGAUGGCGAAGGCAAUCCCCUGGGCCUGCACUGACGC
rnacentral:rRNA from 1 species